UCAACCAUCAAGCCUGGCUUGUUAUUGGACCCUUUGCGGCUGAAAUAUGUGGCAGGUCCGAAAAAUAAUGACGGUGUCAUGUUUGACCCUAGAUGCAACGAGCUUUUUAAUAGCACGCAUUGAAGUGGUCGACUGACCUGGUCUUUAACCAUUUUUCUAA
rnacentral:misc_RNA from 1 species